GCACAUCCCUAGGAGAUACCGUAAUCAAGAAGGUGGUUUUCCCAGGGUGAGGCCUGUCUGCUGCAGUCUGGGCAGGCUGAUCCUUGCAAGUCUCCCUCAUGCAGGAAACUUGACCACACAGUUGUGUGGUAAUGGAGGACCAUGUUUCUCUCUGGCUUCCU
rnacentral:snRNA from 1 species